UACGGAGGGAGCUAGCGUUGUUCGGAAUUACUGGGCGUAAAGCGCGCGCAGGCGGCGGUGUUGGCCCGGCGUGAAAGCCCCCGGCUCAACCGGGGAGAGUCGUCGGGGACCGCACCGCUUGAGGGCGGUAGGGGCUGGUGGAAUGCCUGGUGUAGUGGUGAAAUGCGUAGAGAUCAGGCAGAACACCUGGGGCGAAGGCGGCCAGCUGG
rnacentral:rRNA from 1 species